rnacentral:ncRNA from 2 species
GAACCAUCCAGAGCGACCGAGAGACCCGGCUCGACGACGUCGCAGCAACCCCCUGCCGCAGGUGAGGGUGCUACCGCCGGGAACGAUGGAGG